rnacentral:snoRNA from 1 species
GAUUGCGGUGAUGACUCCGAAAAUUCAAGCUCAACAGACCGGAAUGCAGGUCUUUUCUCUUAGAGAGAAGAUUUGCGUGUCGACAACCCCGCUGAGCUGAGCAAUU